rnacentral:tRNA from 1 species
GCCUGGGUGGCUCAGUCGUUAAGUGUCUGACUUCAGCUCAGGUCAUGAUCUCACAGUCCAUGGGUUUGAGCCCCAUGUCAGGCU